UACGUAGGGUCCGAGCGUUAAUCGGAAUUACUGGGCGUAAAGCGUGCGCAGGCGGUUUUGUAAGCCAGAUGUGAAAUCCCCGGGCUCAACCUGGGAACUGCAUUUGGGACUGCAAGGCUUGAGUACGGCAGAGGGGGGUAGAAUUCCUGGUGUAGCAGUGAAAUGCGUAGAUAUGCGGAGGAACACCGAUGGCGAAGGCAAUCCCCUGGGCCUGCACUGACGCUCAUGCACGAAAGCGUGGGGAGCAAACAGG
rnacentral:rRNA from 2 species